rnacentral:rRNA from 1 species
ACGCUCGACACCUACGGGAGGCAGCAGUGGGGAAUAUUGCACAAUGGGGGAAACCCUGAUGCAGCGACGCCGCGUGAGCGAAGAAGUAUCUCGGUAUGUAAAGCUCUAUCAGCAGGGAAGAAGAUGACGGUACCUGACUAAGAAGCACCGGCUAAAUACGUGCGAGCAGCCGCGGUAAUCUGAGCGGGCUGGCAAGGC